GGCGAGUGAAUGUAACUGGCGAGGUUAAGUUCUUAAGGAACGGAGCCGAAGCGAAAGCAAGUCUGAAUAGGGCGUCUUAGUCAGUUGUAUUCGACCCGAAACCGGGUGACCUAUCCAUGUCCAGGAUGAAGUUAAGGUAAAACUUGAUGGAGGUCCGAACCCACGGUCGUUGAAAUGCCCGGGGAUGAGAUGUGGAUAGCGGAGAAAUUCCAAUCGAACCCGGAUAUAGCUGGUUCUCUCCGAAAUAGCUUUAGGGCUAGCCUCGACUGAACAUUACCGGAGGUAGAGCACUGAAUGGGCUAGGGGCCGAGAGGUUACUGAACCCUAUCAAACUUCAAAUGCCGGAAAAUGAUAGUCGGGAGUCAGACUGCGUGAGAUAAGUUUCGUAGUCGAAAGGGAAACAGCCCAGACCCACAGCUAAGGUCCCAAAGUACGGUUAAGUGGAAAAGGAUGUGGAGUUGCACAGACAACCAGGAUGUUGGCUUAGAAGCAGCCACUCAUUAAAAGAGUGCGUAAUAGCUCACUGGUCGAGUGACUCUGCGCCGAAAAUUUAACGGGGCUAAAUCGUACACCGAAGCUUGGGAAUAUCAGUUAUUCUUCAUGGACUUGCUAAGGUAAGACACCAUGGCACGGAGUGCCAUCAAAUUGUCCAGAAGGAUAAAGCGAGCUUGUGAAGAAUAACUGAUAUUGGUAGGAGAGCGUUGAAUGCGGGGUGAAGUCAGAGCGAAAGCGCUGGUGGACUGCAUUGAAGUGAGAAUGCCGGAAUGAGUAGCGAGAUUUAUGUGAGAAUCAUAAAGGCCGAAAGACUAAGGUUUCAGAAGGAAGGUUCGUCCGCUUCUGGUUAGCCGGGAGCUAAGGUGAGGCCGAAAGGCGUAGCCGAUGCACAUACGGUGGAGAUUCCGUAGCCGUCGAAAUAUUUAAGCAAAGGGACACUUAUGAAGGACAUGACCCGGGCGAUGGUAGCCCCGGGCGUAAGGGACUGAAAACAAGUAAGGAAGCAUGUUUGGAUUAAGGCGAGAAAAGCUUUGUGUAUAUAUGAGACGUCCGUACCGCAAACCGACACAGGUAGUCAGGAAGAGGAUUCUAAGGCCAACGGGAGAAGGGUAGUUAAGGAACUCGGCAAAUUGACCCCGUAACUUCGGGAUAAGGGGCGGUGCGUAAGCACCCGCAGUGAAUAGGUCCAGGCGACUGUUUAUCAAAAACACAGCUCUCUGCUAAAUCGAAAGAUGACGUAUAGGGGGUGACACCUGCCCGGUGCUGGAAGGUUAAGAGGAGGAGUGCAAGCUCCGAAUUGAAGCCCCAGUAAACGGCGGCCGUAACUAUAACGGUCCUAAGGUAGCGAAAUUCCUUGUCGGGUAAGUUCCGACCCGCACGAAUGGUGUAACGAUCUGGACGCUGUCUCAACUGCCCACCCGGCGAAAUUGUAGUACCGGUGAAGAUGCCGGUUACCCGCGGCAAGACGGAAAGACCCCAUGGAGCUUUACUGUAACUUGAUAUUGGGUCUUGGUAUUCUAUGUACAGGAUAGGCGGGAGACUAUGAAACAUACACGCCAGUGUAUGCGGAGUCACCCUUGGGAUACCGCUCUUAGAGUACUGAGAUUCUAACCUGCGGCCGUGAAUCCGGUCGGGGGACAUUGUCAGGUGGGCAGUUUGACUGGGGCGGUCGCCUCCUAAAAGGUAACGGAGGCGCUCAAAGGUUAGCUCAGCACGGUCGGAAACCGUGCCUCUGAGUGCAAACGCAAAAGCUAGCCUAACUGCGAGGCUGACGGGCCGAGCAGUAACGAAAGUUGGAGUUAGUGA
rnacentral:rRNA from 1 species